AACGAACGCUGGCGGCAGGCUUAACACAUGCAAGUCGAGCGCCCCGCAAGGGGAGCGGCAGACGGGUGAGUAACGCGUGGGAAUCUACCGUGCCCUAAGGAAUAGCUCCGGGAAACUGGAAUUAAUACCUUAUACGCCCCAUUGGGGAAAGAUUUAUCGGGGUAUGAUGAGCCCGCGUCGGAUUAGCUAGUUGGUGGGGUAAAGGCCUACCAAGGCGACGAUCCAUAGCUGGUCUGAGAGGAUGAUCAGCCAGAUUGGGACUGAGACACGGCCCAGACUCCUACGGGGGGGAGCAGUGGGGAAGUUUGGACGAUGGGCGUUAGCUUGAUCGAGCGAUGCCGCGUGAGGGAUGAAGGCCCUAGGGUUGUAAAGCUCUUUCACCGGUGAAGAUAAUGACGGUAACCGGAGAAGAAGCCCCGGCUAACUUCGUGCCAGCCGCCGCGGUAAAAC
rnacentral:rRNA from 1 species